AAUAAGCGGAGGAAAAGAAACUAACAAGGAUUCCCCUAGUAACGGCGAGUGAAGCGGGAAGAGCUCAAAUUUGUAAUCUGGCACUUUCAGUGUCCGAGUUGUAAUCUCGAGAAGUGUUUUCCGCGCCGGACCGCAUACAAGUCUGUUGGAAUACAGCGUCAUAGUGGUGAGAACCCCGUAACUGAUGCGGAUGCCCGGUGCUUUGUGAUACACUUUCGAAGAGUCGAGUUGUUUGGGAAUGCAGCUCAAAUUGGGUGGUAAAUUCCAUCUAAAGCUAAAUAUUGGCGAGAGACCGAUAGCGAACAAGUACCGUGAGGGAAAGAUGAAAAGCACUUUGGAAAGAGAGUUAACAGUACGUGAAAUUGUUGGAAGGGAAACGAUUGAAGUCAGACUUGUUAUCUGGAGUUCAGCCUUUCGGUGUACUCUCCAGUUUACAGGCCAGCAUCAGUUUUCGGGGCGGGAAAAUCGUAAUUAGAAGGUAGCAGCCUAGCUGUGUUAUAGCUUUUUACUGGAUUCCGCUUUGGGGACUGAGGAACGCAGUGUGCUUUUAGCAAUACCCUCGGGUAUUUCACACUUGG
rnacentral:rRNA from 1 species